CGCAUGCACUUGUGCUCGAACACGUGCUUACGCGCCCCCACCUUGAGUGUUAUGCAACANACGUUUGCACCUGCUUGCGAUUGGGCGAGCUGUAGAGAGGCUGUUUGUGUUGUGAAGCUNAAAAGCGACGAGUAGUCUNAGGCACUAAGCGCCGCGUGGCGAAUUAUGUUUCGCGAAGCCGACACGCGUUAAUACAACAGGAAGUUGCUACANAAUCCUUAAAGGUAUUUGGUCCUUGUGUGCUACGUUNUAAGNGUNUNAGCACCGUUAUUGGCGUUCAAAACCAGUNUACCGACCUUAGAGCCUGCCGG
rnacentral:rRNA from 1 species